GAUGAACGCUGGCGGCGUGCCUAAUACAUGCAAGUCGAGCGAACAGAUAAGGAGCUUGCUCCUUUGACGUUAGCGGCGGACGGGUGAGUAACACGUGGAUAACCUACCUAUAAGACUGGGAUAACUUCGGGAAACCGGAGCUAAUACCGGAUAACAUAUUGAACCGCAUGGUUCAAUAGUGAAAGGCGGCUUUGCUGUCACUUAUAGAUGGAUCCGCGCCGUAUUAGCUAGUUGGUAAGGUAACGGCUUACCAAGGCAACGAUACGUAGCCGACCUGAGAGGGUGAUCGGCCACACUGGAACUGAGACACGGUCCAGACUCCUACGGGAGGCAGCAGUAGGGAAUCUUCCGCAAUGGGCGAAAGCCUGACGGAGCAACGCCGCGUGAGUGAUGAAGGUCUUCGGAUCGUAACUCUGUUAUCAGGGAAGAACAAAUGUGUAAGUAACUGUGCACAUCUUGACGGUACCUGAUCAGAAAGCCACGGCUAACUACGUG
rnacentral:rRNA from 1 species